ACUCAAAUGAAUUGACGGGGGCCCGCACAAGCAGUGGAGUAUGUGGUUUAAUUCGAGGCAACGCGAAGAACCUUACCAGGGUUUGACAUCCUGCGCUAGGCUUGGAGACAAGUUGUUCCCUUCGGGGACGCAGAGACAGGUGGUGCAUGGUUGUCGUCAGCUCGUGUCGUGAGAUGUUCGGUUAAGUCCGGCAACGAGCGCAACCCUUGUUGCCAGUUGCCAUCAUUUGGUUGGGCACUUUGGCGAGACUGCCGUUGACAAAACGGAGGAAGGUGGGGAUGACGUCAAAUCAUCAUGCCCCUUAUAUCCUGGGCUACACACGUACUACAAUGGGCGUUACAGAGGGCAGCCACACCGCGAGGUGGCGCGAAUCCCGAAAGGCGUCCUCAGUUCGGAUUGCAGGCUGCAACUCGCCUGCAUGAAGUCGGAAUUGCUAGUAAUGGCAGGUCAGCAUACUGCCGUGAAUACGUUCCCGGGCCUUGUACACACCGCCCGU
rnacentral:rRNA from 1 species